rnacentral:lncRNA from 1 species
GUCAGUCCCAGUCAGGACACAGCAUGACCAUGAGGGCCCCUUCUCAGCUCCUGGGGCUCCUGCUCCUCUGCCUCCCAGAGGCUCACUCAGGGCUCCAGGUCUGGAAACAAACAGCACACAUGGUCCAUGAUUCUGAAGGAAGCCUGCUAUGGGAGAAAACCAAGAAGUCCUCACUGCACCUGCUCCUCCCCCUCCACCCCAGGCCUCCACAGCACAGCUACAGCCUCUGUGGAGACCUGUGUGAGCAGGUGAGGGCUUAAAAUAGAUGCCCUGCUCUGCCUUCUUCUGCUGGUUGCUGAUGUUCCACCUUCAUUUGAGGACAUCCUCCUACAUACUCGUCUCAACCACCAAGUGAGAAGCAGAAACCUAUAAUUAGAGUUGAAUUCUACAACCAGCACAACAAUAAGUAUCAUAGAUGUCUCUUU